rnacentral:rRNA from 1 species
AACUAGCUUCAAGAUAAGUAUUCUACGAGGAAGCUUCGAGAACAGGAGCUGGAUAGGUUGGGGGUGUACGCGCAGUAAUGUGUUUAGCUGACCAAUACUAAUCGAACGAAAUUUUAAUCGG